rnacentral:rRNA from 1 species
GACGAACGCUGGCGGCGUGGAUUAGGCAUGCAAGUCGAACGGUAGGAUACCUUCGGGUAUCUGAGAGUGGCGAACGGGUGAGUAACACGUAGGUGAUCCACCCUCAAGAUUGGGACAACCCAGGGAAACUUGGGCUAAUACCGGAUGAAAGCAGCAGUGAUGUUGUUUGAAAGGUGGCGUAAGCUGCCGUUUGGGGAUGAGCCUGCGCUCUAUUAGUUAGUUGGCGGGGUAAAGGCCCACCAAGGCGAUGAUAGAUAGGCGGCCUUAACGGGUGGUCGCCCACACUGGGAUUGAGAUACGGCCCAGACUCCUACGGGAGGCAGCAGUCGAGAAUAGUCUACAAUGGCCGAAAGGCUGAUAGUGCGACGCCGCGUGAACGAAGAAGCCCUUCGGGUGUAAGUUCUUUUAUAUGUGAGCAGUGCUUUCUAUGUGAACAGCAUGGGGAGAGAGAUAUUAGCAUAUGAAUAAGCAACGGCUAACUCCGUGCCAGCAGCCG